AUCGACAAUCCACGUUAAANUUCACUUUAAUCUAAAAUUUAUAUACCGCCAUCUAAAGAAUUAAUUUAAAAAUAUUCCUCUCAAAAAUAACUAAAAAGUUAGGUCAAGGUGUAGUUAACAUUAAAGAAUAAAAUGAGUUACAAUAAAUACAAUUUAAAGAUUAUAAAAUCACACAUUAUAUAAAUUAGAAUUUAAUAGCAAUAUUCAAAUAAUAUUACAAUAUGAUUAAGAUAAUAAAUGUGCACACAUCGCCC
rnacentral:rRNA from 1 species